UGCAGUCGACGAUGAUGCCCAGCUUGCUGGGUGGAUUAGUGGCGAACGGGUGAGUAACACGUGAGUAACCUGCCCCUGACUCUGGGAUAAGCGUUGGAAACGACGUCUAAUACUGGAUAUGAUCACUGGCCGCAUGGUCUGGUGGUGGAAAGAUUUUUUGGUUGGGGAUGGACUCGCGGCCUAUCAGCUUGUUGGUGAGGUAAUGGCUCACCAAGGCGACGACGGGUAGCCGGCCUGAGAGGGUGACCGGCCACACUGGGACUGAGACACGGCCCAGACUCCUACGGGAGGCAGCAGUGGGGAAUAUUGCACAAUGGGCGAAAGCCUGAUGCAGCAACGCCGCGUGAGGGAUGACGGCCUUCGGGUUGUAAACCUCUUUUAGUAGGGAAGAAGCGAAAGUGACGGUACCUGCAGAAAAAGCACCGGCUAACUACGUGCCAGCAGCCGCGGUAAUACGUAGGGUGCAAGCGUUGUCCGGAAUUAUUGGGCGUAAAGAGCUCGUAGGCGGUUUGUCGCGUCUGCUGUGAAAUCCCGAGGCUCAACCUCGGGCUUGCAGUGGGUACGGGCAGACUAGAGUGCGGUAGGGGAGAUUGGAAUUCCUGGUGUAGCGGUGGAAUGCGCAGAUAUCAGGAGGAACACCGAUGGCGAAGGCAGAUCUCUGGGCCGUAACUGACGCUGAGGAGCGAAAGCAUGGGGAGCGAACAGGAUUAGAUACCCUGGUAGUCCAUGCCGUAAACGUUGGGCGCUAGAUGUAGGGACCUUUCCACGGUUUCUGUGUCGUAGCUAACGCAUUAAGCGCCCCGCCUGGGGAGUACGGCCGCAAGGCUAAACUCAAGGAAUUGACGGGGGCCCGCACAGCGCGGAGCAUGCGGAUUAAUUCGAUGCACGCGAAGAACCUUACCAAGGCUUGACAUACACCGGAACGGCCAGAGAUGGUCGCCCCCCUYUGGUCGGUGUACAGGUGGUGCAUGGAUGUCGUCAGCUCGUGUCGUGAGAUGUGGGUAAGUCCCGCAACGAGCGCAACCCUCGUUCUAUGUUGCUAGCGGUUAUGCGGAACUCAUAGAACUGCUGGUCSACCUCGAAGAAG
rnacentral:rRNA from 1 species